rnacentral:rRNA from 1 species
UACGGGGGGGGCAAGCGUUGUUCGGAAUUACUGGGCGUAAAGGGCUCGUAGGUGGCCAACUAAGUCAGACGUGAAAUCCCUCGGCUUAACCGGGGAACUGCGUCUGAUACUGGAUGGCUUGAGUUUGGGAGAGGGAUGCGGAAUUCCAGGUGUAGCGGUGAAAUGCGUAGAUAUCUGGAGGAACACCGGUGGCGAAGGCGGCAUCCUGGACCAACACUGACGCUGAGGAACGAAAGCCAGGGGAGCGAAUGGG